GACGAACGCUGGCGGCGUGCCUAAUACAUGCAAGUAGAACGCUGAAGGAGGAGCUUGCUUCUCUGGAUGAUUUGCGAACGGGGGAGUAACGCGUAUGUAACCUCCCUCUUAGCGAGGGAUAAAUAUUGGAAACGAUAGCUAAUACCGCAUAAUAUUAUAUGUUGCAUGACAUUUGCUUGUAAGAUGCAAUUUUAUCACUACCAAAUGGACCUGCGGUGUAUUAUCUAGUUGUUGGUGUAACGGCUCAACAAGGCGACGAUACAUAGACGACCCCAGAGGGUGAGAGGACAAAAUGGGAAUGAGAAAAGGCCCAGAAUCCUAAGGGAGGCAGCAGUAGGGAAUUUUCGGGAAUGGACGGAAGUCUGAACGAGCAACGCCGCGUGAGUGAAGAAGGUUUUCGGAUCGUAAAGAUCUGUUGUAAGAGAAGAAAGGGUGUGAGAGUGGACAGUGCACACUGUGACGGUAUCUUACCAGAAAGGGACGGCUAACUACGUG
rnacentral:rRNA from 1 species